UGAUUGUGUCCUGGGAUGGCUCCCACUCGUAUCGCUAUGAAAACAGAAGUUUCAUAAACCAGAGAUGAGUUACUUCAACUCAGUUUAAUUCAAUAAACAGUUAUUGAACAUUUACUGUGUCCAGGAUACCAUUGGCCAUGGUGAAUGAUACAUGAUCCCUCCUAUCAAGAAAUUUGCAAUCUAGUAUGGGAGAAACUAUGCAAAUAAAUGUCCAACCAUAAGAUGACUGCUACGGUAUAGUAACAAGCAAAGAUUUAGGAACUCAGUAGGUAAACAACCACCACCUGUUCACCCCCUCUCCUCCAAAAGAGGAAAAAAAGAAUUUUUCCUUUGAUGACAGCAACACAUGACCCAGGAAGGUUGUGACAGAAAUAAAGUUUACAGAAGUCGUGUUCCUGCGAUAAGAAAUAAAGAUGUGACCUUCCAGUUGUGUAAAGCUCUUAAAUGCUGUGUAAGUGCGUCGGGUGCGCUAAGGACCCUGGAGCUAAAUGGGCUAGUUCUGAGAGAGAGACUUAACUAUGUUAACAAGCUGCCAAGCAGUAACAGCUGUCUUUGUACUGAAUCCCGGAAGUGUCUCUGUAUCCUGGAAGUAUUGCAAUGAUCGUCUUCACACCUGCGAAAUAUUCCUGCACCGUGUACGCAAAUGAUUAUGGCUCCGCUCUCGGGCCUCACCUGGGAGCUACUGCAUGUGAGGAUCAAAUUGAUACACAUUAGGGCAUCCUCAGCGGUCUUUGGCAAAGGCCUAUAGAUUACCUCGCUAUCCAAUUUGUUAACUGGACAGCAGAGCCUGAGUGGAAAGAACAAUGCGCUCGUCAGUUGGGAGAAGCUCCUCCAGGUAUCAACAGAUACAAGCAAGGCAAUCUCACUGUGCAGGUUGAUUAGAACUGGGUUUGUAUUUUGGACAAUAAACUCUACUUACGAUAGUCUCCCAGUCAUUAAGUAUCUCUGCUGUAAGAGAAAACUGGGGCUAUUAACUUCUCCAGAUAGAACCCGAGGGAAAAGUGAUCAUUUCUUUUCUAAGCAGAAGGGAAGGUUCUGCUCAAUAAAGAUCAAUUAAACAUCUCUGUUAAAAGACUGCUUGGAGCUGGUGCCAAAGGAAAUUCCACUGUAUUAACCCGUGCUCCCUCCAACCCUCCCCACCUCUGUAGCUUGCGCUGGGGAAAAUUGUAAGAGGACGCUGGCUAUUGUAAGCUUUAUAAGGUGACAGUAGCUCUCACAUCCGUGGCUGAAUGAUCUUUGAUGUUGAGUGACUUUUCCUGCAUUUAGCAGGGGUAUUCCCAGAGGAUGGCAGGCAAAUCAAACGCUCCUCUGAAUUCAGCUGCUAGCAUCAAUCAUCCUCAUGAGGGAGUAAAAAAAAGAAUAUAACAAUAGGUACCGGGAAAAAUGAUAUGGUGGUCUGAGCUAGUAAUUCCCAGGAUGCAGGAAGAGUUUUGGGGGCCCUAGAAAAUCCACUGCAUAAAGAAAACCCGCCACAAUCUCCACCAGCAUCUUAUAGUUACCACCUCAUUCUUGUCCUUUAAAAUACAGUGUGCUUGUCCUUUAAAAUACAGUGUGUCUUGUACAUUAAAAUACAGUGUGCUUCUACUCUCUGGCUGAGACUGCAUCCUCUCAUGUAAAUUCCAUCUGUUCUUGCUUGAGGGAGGGCAGACACAACCUUGACUUUAUCCUCUUGAUGAGAGUGAUGUUUCAUGGUGUUGGGAGGAUUUUCAUUGGGUCAAUUGCCUGAUUGAGACAUAGCCUUAGUGAGGUGACAAAUAGCAGGCAUUAAUGUCUCUUUUUUAAUGGUAUGAUGAAUGGUCUAAGAGAAGGGUCAGCAAACUGUAGCCAGCCGCCUGUUUUUGUAAAUAAAUUAUUGGACCACAGCCAGACCAGUUCAUUCAUGAAUUUUCUCUGGCUCCUUUUGCGUCGAGUAGUUGUGACAGAGACCUAACGGCCCACAAAGCCAAAGAUACUCCCUGGCCCCGGCCACCCCUGAUCUAAGACCGUUCCCACAGUCCUCUGAUGAUAAGAAUCACCUGGAUCAUUUGUUCAAAAGACAAUUUCUGGGUCCAGCUUGGAACCCCUGAGUCAGAAUCUCCAGGGAAGGGGCUUUGGGAAGGUAGAGUGAACAAGCUUCCCGGGUGAUUCUUAUCCCCAGGGAACUACUGGUCUCAGGUGUGCCUGCCUAGCAGGUAAGGAGGAGGUUUUCAAAGAGGCAGUGGGGGUGGGGGGUUGGGCGGAGUUUGCCUUGGAGAGCACAGGCCUCGCGGUUUCACUGCUGGGACUGCAUCCCAGCUCCGCUUCUCCCCGAGCUUCGCCACCUCAGGUAAGUUCCUUUUCACACUGUUUCCUCCGCUGAGAAGUGAGGGUCAUGGUGCCCGGUUGGCAGUGUGUGUAUAUACGCUGAGAGCCUAAUCCAAGGCUCGGUAGUGGUCACCCUCACUAAGAGGAGCAGCGCCAUGUAAACACAGAAGACCCCGCUGUGGAAACAUCUCAUAAAUAAGACAGGCCCAGCGGGGCUUUUCAGUAGUCCACGGUGUACAGCUGUUUUCCUCAGAAGGAAAAACUCCCUUAAAGGAAUCUCCCAUUACGUUCAGGACCGUAUACGGCCCUUUAGAAACUCAAUUCUCCACAGCAUGCUGAGUAUUGCAAGAGGUUAUCAUUGGCUGUUUUAGGAUAUAGCUGAGUUUGCAAAGGAAUAUUUAAUUUCAUGAUUGAAAACUCUGGUACUUAGCACGAGACAGACAUAUAUAUAUAUUCUGUUUCUGAGGUUAAUGUUUUUAAAAACUCUUUGCCUGACGAGAUCAAGCAAUUUCAGCCAUUCGUGUAGCUGUUGAAAGGCAGUUUUUAGAUGAAUUGCCCAUAAAUCCUUGCAAGAUACAGGACCCAAUAAUACUUCAGGUUACCAGGGAGUUUCAUAUUUUACUAAAAGGGGGAAAAAGUCAAUCUUGAAUCUUUUAGUCCGAUGACCAAAGAAUUGCUCCAUUGAUUUUGUUCAGCUACUCAGGUGGGUGUGCAGUUGAUCCUGAUUGGAUCUUAUUUAAAGUUUACUUUUUCUGGGAAGUAUUAAUUCGAAUGUAGUAUGGGUAAUACUGGAAUACUAGAGCCUCUUUAAAGCCACUUUACACAGCUUGUGUAAACAUCCUAGGGUAGUUUCCUCUUAACAUUUUCACAAAUACAGAACUUGAGUUUGCUGUAUGUUUUCCUCUUUUUAACAGAAGAGGGAGGUAAAGGCUUGGCUAAACAAUGUACUUAAAACCCAGGCUAGAGGGAAAUGGAUUCAUAUUCUUAGAGGAACAGGUAAACAAGAACAGCAUGAAUUCUGCCAAGUAUGAUUUAGGUUUGUGAAGGAAGGAAAAAAAGCACACUUGGCAAAUGAGUGUGGUUUGCUGAUUUCUUUAUUUUUAAACUUAGUUUUAAACGAAAGUACCAGUGAGACCCGAGAAAAACGAAUCUGCAGAGGGCAGGAGGAGGGGUAUUCUUCA